AGCAGCCGCGGUAAUUCCAGCUCCAAUAGCGUAUAUUAAAGUUGUUGCAAUUAAAAAGCUCGUAGUUGAAUUUCGGGAUCAAGGAAUCGGUCAUGCCUUGGUAUGUACUGGUUUUAUUGGUUCUCACCUUCUAAAGAACCAUAAUGUCAUUUAUUUGAUGUUAUGGGGAAUUAGGACUGUUACCUUGAAAAAAUUAGAGUGUUUAAAGCAAGCUUACGCUUGAAUACAUUAGCAUGGAAUAAUGAAAUAGGACAUCAGAUUCUAUUUUGUUGGUUUCUAGGAUCGAUGUAAUGAUUAAUAGGGAUAGUUGGGGGCAUUAGUAUUCAAUUGUCAGAGGUGAAAUUCUUGGAUUUAUUGAAGACUAACUACUGCGAAAGCAUUUGCCAAGGAUGUUUUCAUUAAUCAAGAACGAAAGUUAGGGAUCGAAGACGAUCAGAUACCGUCGUAGUCUUAACCAUAAACUAUAGCCGACUAGGGAUCGGAUGAUGUUAAUUUUUAAUGACUCAUUCGGCUACCG
rnacentral:rRNA from 1 species